AACGAACGCUGGCGGCGCGCCUAAUACAUGCAAGUCGAGCGAGAAGGUGUAGCAAUACACUUGUAAAGCGGCGAACGGGUGAGGAAUGCAUGGGUAACCUACCCUCGAGUGGGGAAUAACUAGCCGAAAGGUUAGCUAAUACCGCAUACGUUUCCGGAACUUCGGUUUCGGAAAGAAAGCAAUACCGUGGGUAUUGCGCUCCUGGAUGGGCUCAUGUCCUAUCAGCUUGUUGGUGAGGUAACGGCUCACCAAGGCUUCGACGGGUAGCUGGUCUGAGAGGACGAUCAGCCACACUGGCACUGCCGACACGGGCCAGACUCCUACGGGA
rnacentral:rRNA from 1 species